ACCAUUGCUGUUGGCAUCGUUUUUUUUACAAAUCAGAAAUAAUGGCUGAUGUUGAAAGUGUUCAGUAGCAGAGCAGCCAUAUGGAAUUAGAGUCACUUCCACUAACCUAUCACAACCUCACAACUACAACCUAUACUUCCAGAUAUCAAGCUGCUCGGAAGAUGGAGUUGCACUGAUGUAACCCCAAGCGUGAGAUGUUGGUAAAGCAUUUUGAGAGUCAUCAAACUAAGACAACAGACUUAAUAGCAACAAACAACGCAAGUUACCCAAAUUAUCACCUAACGACAGCAACAUCAGCGGUAGCAACAAGAAAUGCAACAAGCUCAGGCCCACGUCAACAAUUGAAGAGGGUCUCAGUGAGUCAUCUGAGGCUAAAACAAUUCGAAUCUUCACAUACCAUACAUGUUCGCUGACCUUCACCCAAGAGAACUAAUACAACUCACAACUCACUGUACACAUGAUCAUAAAUAAUAUUAUUUUGUGUACCUUGAUGUGAACCAAAACAAAACAUUAGUCGCAAACACAAAAAAAAAAAAACCCUCUUCAGCGUCUCUAAAUCAAUUGUUUCAAGCGCGGGUGUAAGCACAACAUCGCCCGUAUCAUCGACGAGUGCAACCCGGAACUUGAUUCGUGGCGAAGUCAAGGAUACAAGUGAAUCCAGCGGCAUGGUAAUAAGCUGUAAUUCAAACAACACAGCAUCAAUAUUUGAAACAGACAUUGAGAGCUGAGAGCUAAGAAUGAUACAGGAGGCAAUGGACCAGCUUCUUGUGGAGGAUGAGAUGGAGCAGGAGGUGAUAAUCUGUUAAUCACAAGUCAGGAGAACCAAACCAGAUUCCACAACCAAAUUCUGCUGAAGCAGGUAUGAGUGCCAAACAACAUCAACAGCAACAAAAAUUUCUUGUGCAAGACAUCAAACAGAUUCAACAGCUCUUGGAGAGUGUUGGAGUAUUGCAGACCAGCAAAAUGGCCUUAGAUGGAGCGACACUUCAAAUGAUUGGAGACAACAAUCAAAUGGUGACUGUAAAACAAGGCGAUAAUCCAGCAGGGUCACGGAGAUCAUGUUCUUGGUGACCUCGGUGUUUGAAUUACCAUGUCCGUUUCAUAUACCUACUACUGAUGAACAGCCUAUUGAUUAAAUGGAAUGGAAAUUGAAGGUAUCGUCUUUGCAACGACAGCUGUUGGUGAAACAGCGUUAGAAGUCAUCUGAUUUGACAAAUUCAUACUGUUUUGAUAUCUAAAAUUUAAAAAGUAGCGAUUUUUUUUCAUUGGAAUUCGUUGUAGAUCGAACUUUUGGUUCUUUGCAAUUAUACAUAGAUAUAUUAGAGGAAAACUUUCAAAUUGUAUAGUUUAAGUUCUUUAUUGUUACGGUGAUUCAGUUUUUAAUUAUUUAAAUAUACAUAAAAUUCAUUGUGAAUACAUUUAA